rfam:Desulfotomaculum kuznetsovii DSM 6115, complete genome.
GGGCGAUUAGCUCAGCUGGGAGAGCACAUGCCUUACAAGCAUGGGGUCGGCGGUUCAAAUCCGUCAUCGCCCA